AGAAUCAACGCUGGCGGCGUGCCUAACACAUGCAAGUCGCACGAGAAAGGGGAGCAAUCCCUGAGUAAAGUGGCGCACGGGUGAGUAACACGUGAAUGAUCUACCUCCGAGUGGGGAAUAACCAAAGAAAUUUUGGCUAAUACCGCAUAACACUUACGAGUCAAAGCAGCAAUGCGCUUGGAGAGGAGUUCGCGGCAGAUUAGCUAGUUGGCGGGGUAAUGGCCCACCAAGGCGAUGAUCGGUA
rnacentral:rRNA from 1 species